UUCCGGUUCAUCCCGCGGGACUGACUGCUAUCGGAUGAUACUAAGCCAUGCGAGUCUUUGUAGUAAUACAAGGCAGACGGCUCAGUAACACGUAGUCAACCUACCCUAUGGACAAGAAUAAUCUCGGGAAACUGGGCAUAAUUCUUGAUAGAUCAUAAUGCCUGGAAUGGUCUAUGGUUAAAAUGAUUCGUCGCCAUAGGAUGGGACUGCGGCCUAUCAGCUUGUUGGUGAGGUAAUGGCCCACCAAGGCGAUUACAGGUACGGGCUCUGAGAGGAGAAGCCCGGAGAUGGGUACUGAGACACGGACCCAGGCCCUAUGGGGCGCAGCAGGCGAGAAAACUUUGCAAUGUGCGAAAGCACGACAAGGUUAAUCCGAGUGAUUUCUGCUAAAGAAAUCUUUUGCCAGUCAUAAAACCACUGGUGAAUAAGGGGUGGGCAAGUUCUGGUGUCAGCCGCCGCGGUAAAACCAGCACCUCAAGUGGUCAGGAUGAUUAUUGGGCCUAAAGCAUCCGUAGCCGGCUUUGUAAGUUUUCGGUUAAAUCCAUGUGCUCAACGCAUGGGCUGCCGAAAAUACUGCAUGGCUAGGGAGUGGGAGAGGUAGACGGUACUCAGUAGGAAGGGGUAAAAUCCUUUGAUCUAUUGAUGACCACCUGUGGCGAAGGCGGUCUACCAGAACACGUUCGACGGUGAGGGAUGAAAGCUGGGGGAGCAAACCGGAUUAGAUACCCGGGUAGUCCCAGCUGUAAACGAUGCAGACUCGAUGAUGCAUUGGCAUAAUAGCUAGUGCAGUGUCGCAGGGAAGCCGUUAAGUCUGCCGCCUGGGAAGUACGUACGCAAGUAUGAAACUUAAAGGAAUUGGCGGGGGAGCACCACAAAGGGGUGAAGCCUGCGGUUCAAUU
rnacentral:rRNA from 1 species